rnacentral:rRNA from 1 species
UACAGAGGGGGCAAGCGUUAUUCGGAAUUAUUGGGCGUAAAGGUCGCGUAGGCGGCCUUUCAAGUGACGGGUGAAAUCCCCCGGCUUAACCGGGGAACUGCCUGUCAGACUGGGAGGCUUGAGACCGGGAGAGGUGAGUGGAAUUCCCAGUGUAGCGGUGAAAUGCGUAGAUAUUGGGAGGAACACCAGUGGCGAAGGCGGCUCACUGGACCGGUACUGACGCUGAUGCGCGAAAGCGUGGGGAGCAAACAGG